rnacentral:rRNA from 1 species
GGCGCUUACCAUGCAGUCGAGCGGGGGAGGUAGCUUGCUACCGGACCUAGCGGCGGACGGGUGAGUAAUGCUUAGGAAUCUGCCUAUUAGUGGGGGACAACAUCUCGAAAGGGAUGCUAAUACCGCAUACGUCCUACGGGAGAAAGCAGGGGAUCUUCGGACCUUGCGCUAAUAGAUGAGCCUAAGUCGGAUUAGCUAGUUGGUGGGGUAAAGGCCUACCAAGGCGACGAUCUGUAGCGGGUCUGAGAGGAUGAUCCGCCACACUGGGACUGAGACACGGCCCAGACUCCUACGGGAGGCAGCAGUGGGGAAUAUUGGACAAUGGGCGCAAGCCUGAUCCAGCCAUGCCGCGUGUGUGAAGAAGGCCUUAUGGUUGUAAAGCACUUUAAGCGAGGAGGAGGCUACUUUAGAUAAUACCUAGAGAUAGUGGACGUUACUCGCAGAAUAAGCACCGGCUAACUCUGUGCCAGCAGCCGCGGUAAUACAGAGGGUGCAAGCGUUAAUCGGAUUUACUGGGCGUAAAGCGCGCGUAGGCGGCUAAUUAAGUCAAAUGUGAAAUCCCCGAGCUUAACUUGGGAAUUGCAUUCGAUACUGGUUAGCUAGAGUGUGGGAGAGGAUGGUAGAAUUCCAGGUGUAGCGGUGAAAUGCGUAGAGAUCUGGAGGAAUACCGAUGGCGAAGGCAGCCAUCUGGCCUAACACUGACGCUGAGGUGCGAAAGCAUGGGGAGCAAACAGGAUUAG